rnacentral:misc_RNA from 1 species
CCGAGUUUACAACUCCCAAACCCCUGUGAACAUACCUAUACGUUGCCUCGGCGGAUCAGCCCGCGCCCCGUAAAAAGGGACGGCCCGCCCGGGGACCCCUAAACUCUGUUUUUAGUGGAACUUCUGAGUAAAACAAACAAAUAAAUCA